AUUGAACGCUGGCGGCAUGCCUUACACAUGCAAGUCGAACGGUAACGCGGGGCAACCUGGCGACGAGUGGCGAACGGGUGAGUAAUAUAUCGGAACGUGCCCAAUUGUGGGGGAUAACGUAGAGAAAUUUACGCUAAUACCGCAUACGAUCUAAGGAUGAAAGCGGGGGAUCGCAAGACCUCGCGCAAUUGGAGCGGCUGAUAUCAGAUUAGCUUGUUGGUGAGGUAAAAGCUCGCCAAGGCGACGAUCUGUAGCUGGUUUGAGAGAACGACCAGCCACACUGGGACUGAGACACGGCCCAGACUCCUACGGGAGGCAGCAGUGGGGAAUUUUGGACAAUGGGCGAAAGCCUGAUCCAGCAAUGCCGCGUGCAGGAAGAAGGCCUUCGGGUUGUAAACUGCUUUUGUACGGAACGAAACGGUCUGCCCUAAUACGGCGGGCUAAUGACGGUACCGUAAGAAUAAGCACCGGCUAACUACGUGCCAGCAGCCGCGGUAAUACGUAGGGUGCGAGCGUUAAUCGGAAUUACUGGGCGUAAAGCGUGCGCAGGCGGUUAUGUAAGACAGUUGUGAAAUCCCCGGGCUCAACCUGGGAAUUGCAUCUGUGACUGCAUAGCUAGAGUACGGUAGAGGGGGAUGGAAUUCCGCGUGUAGCAGUGAAAUGCGUAGAUGUGCGGAGGAACACCGAUGGCGAAGGCAAUCCCCUGGACCUGUACUGACGCUCAUGCACGAAAGCGUGGGGAGCAAACAGG
rnacentral:rRNA from 1 species